rnacentral:rRNA from 1 species
UACUGCAGCCACAGCAUUAAGCUCUCCGCCUGGGGAGUACGACCGCGAGGUUGAAACUUAAAGGAAUUGACGGGGACCCGCACAAGCGGUGGAGCAUGUGGUUUAAUUUGAAGCAACGCGAAGAACCUUACCAAAUCUUGACAUCCUUUGACCGCUCUAGAGAUAGAGUCUUCCCCUUCGGGGGACAAAGUGACAGGUGGUGCAUGGUUGUAGUCAGCUCGUGUCGUGAGAUGUUGGGUUAAGUCCCGCAACGAGCGCAACCCUUAAGCUUAGUUGCCAUCAUUAAGUUGGGCACUCUAGGUUGACUGCCGGUGACAAACCGGAGGAAGGUGGGGAUGACGUCAAAUCAUCAUGCCCCUUAUGAUUUGGGCUACACACGUGCUACAAUGGAUAAUACAAAGGGCAGCGAAUCCGCGAGGCCAAGCAAAUCCCAUAAAAUUAUUCUCAGUUCGGAUUGUAGUCUGCAACUCGACUACAUGAAGCUGGAAUCGCUAGUAAUCGUAGAUCAGCAUGCUACGGUGAAUACGUUCCCGGGUCUUGUACACACCGCCCGUCACACCACGAGAGUUUGUAACACCCGAAGCCGGUGGAGUAACCUUUUAGGA